GCCUGGGUGGCUCAGUCGGUUGAGCGUCUGACUUCGGCUCAGGUCAUGAUCUCGUGGUCCGUGAGUUCGAGCCCCGCGUCGGGCU
rfam:Felis catus isolate Cinnamon breed Abyssinian chromosome F1, whole genome shotgun sequence.